rnacentral:rRNA from 1 species
UACGUAGGGACCAAGCGUUGUUCGGAUUUACUGGGCGUAAAGGGCGCGUAGGCGGCAAUUCAAGUCAUCUGUGAAAUCUCCGGGCUUAACUCGGAACGGUCAGAUGAUACUGCUUUGCUAGAGUGCGGAAGGGGCAAUCGGAAUUCCUGGUGUAGCGGUGAAAUGCGCAGAUAUCAGGAGGAACACCGGUGGCGAAGGCGGGUCUCUGGGCCGUAACUGACGCUGAGGAGCGAAAGCGUGGGGAGCGAACAGG